UAAGUGAAGAGUUUGAUCCUGGCUCAGAGUGAACGCUGGCGGUAGGCCUAACACAUGCAAGUCGAACGGCAGCACAGGAGAGCUUGCUCUCUGGGUGGCGAGUGGCGGACGGGUGAGGAAUACAUCGGAAUCUACUCUGUCGUGGGGGAUAACGUAGGGAAACUUACGCUAAUAC
rnacentral:rRNA from 1 species